GAUCCAAUGGCACAGUGGUUAAUGCACCUGCUUCAAAUAAAACCGCUUUAAUAUCAUGUGGCAGGAGACCCUCGUUCGAAUCGGGGUUGGGUCA